AUGAGCGAGGUAUUCGAGGGCUACGAGCGCCAGUACUGCGAGGAAUCCGCUUCCCUCUCCCGCAAGUGCACCGCCGCCUCCGCUCUCGAUGGAGAGAAGAAGAAGCAGAGGCUCUCCGAGAUCCAGUCCGGCGUGCAGGAAGCUGAAUCGCUGAUUCGGAGGAUGGACCUGGAGGCCAGGAAUACGCCGCCUAGCGUGAAAGCGGGUUUGCUAGCUAAGCUGCGGGAGUACAAAUCUGACCUUAACAACCUCAAGAGCGAGCUCAAGAGGAUCUCGGCGCCCAAUGCCAGGCAAACUACCAAGGAGGAGCUCCUUGAGUCUGGCAUGGCUGACACACUCGCGGUGUCCACUGAUCAGCGAGGAAGGUUGAUGAUGACAACUGAAAGACUGAAUCAGUCCACUGACAGAAUUAAAGAGAGCCGAAGAACUAUGCUGGAGACAGAAGAACUUGGUGUGUCGAUUCUUCAGGAUCUUCAUCAACAACGGCAGUCACUACUGCAUGCUCACGAUACUUUGCAUGGGGUUGAUGAUAACGUUGGAAAGAGUAAGAAAAUCCUGUCGGCAAUGUCGAAGAGGAUGGACAGGAACAAGUGGAUCAUUGGUGGAAUCAUUUCAGCUCUUGUUGUGGCCAUCCUUAUCAUACUCUACUUUAAGCUCGCUCACUGA
rnacentral:rRNA from 1 species